ACUGAGCUUAACACUGCUGAUCUGCUGGAGGGUCACACAUCUAUAUGAACCCUUGUUAGACCUGUGUAUUUGAACUUGUCAGUCAAGCAUUUGAAAUAAAAGGCCUAAUCUAUUUUUCAUCUAUACAUCCCACUGAUGUGUGGGUAAUAUUCAAGUAUCCUGAACGCCUAUUUGUUAAUUCAUUUGACAUUCUAUCAAUUUUUAUCAAGCAUUCA